rnacentral:lncRNA from 1 species
UUUGUGCCCUGCGCUGUGACGGGACUAGAGGAUUGAAGAAGGUUCAAGACCACUCACACUUGGGCACUGAUGGGCCUCUAUGGGGUCAUGGAAGGAGCCCUCAGGCAGUGGAAUGUCUCAGGUGACCCCUGCCAAGGGGCCAAGCCCAGCUUUUGUUGCUUAGCCUCCUCCAAGGAAAACCCUCCCUGGGAAAGUUCUGAUGAUCACCACCUCUGACCAAGCCAUACUUCCUGUAAGCACCAGAAAGAAAGUGAUUCCAGGUUCUAUUAUUGAACUUUACACUAUCGUUUCAACAAAAUAAAG